rnacentral:rRNA from 1 species
AUUGAACGCUGGCGGCAGGCCUAACACAUGCAAGUCGAACGAGUGGCGGACGGGUGAGUAAUGCCUGGGAAUCUGGCUUAUGGAGGGGGAUAACGACGGGAAACUGUCGCUAAUACCGCGUACCAUCGGAUGUGCCCAGGUGGGAUUAGGUAGUGGGGGGGGUAACGGCGCACCAAGCCGACGAUCUCUAGCUGGUCUGAGAGGAUGACCAGCCAAACCGGAACUGAGACACGGCCCGGACUCCUACGGGAGGCAGCAGUGGGGAAUAUUGCACAAUGGGCGCAAGCCUGACGCAGCCAUGCCGCGUGAAUGAAGAAGGCCUUCGGGUUGUAAAGUACUUUCAGCGACGAGGCGUUAAUCACAGAAGAAGCACCGGCUAACUCCGUGCCAGCAGCCGCGGUAAUAC